rnacentral:rRNA from 1 species
UACGUAGGGGGCGAGCGUUGUCCGAAUUUACUGGGCGUAAAGCGCGCGUAGGCGGUCUCUUAAGUCUGGUGUGAAAGGUUCAGGGCUCAACCCGAGGAGUGCACUGGAUACUGGGAGACUUGAGUUUGGGAGAGGAGAGUGGAAUUCCUGGUGUAGCGGUGAAAUGCGUAGAUAUCAGGAGGAACACCGAUGGCGAAGGCAGCUCUCUGGCCCAAAACUGACGCUGAGGUGCGAAAGCGUGGGGAGCGAACGGG